CGGAGGAUCCAAGCGUUAUCCGGAUUUAUUGGGUUUAAAGGGUGCGUAGGCGGCCUGUUAAGUCAGGGGUGAAAGACGGUAGCUCAACUAUCGCAGUGCCCUUGAUACUGAUGGGCUUGAAUGGACUAGAGGUAGGCGGAAUGAGACAAGUAGCGGUGAAAUGCAUAGAUAUGUCUCAGAACACCGAUUGCGAAGGCAGCUUACUAUGGUCCUAUUGACGCUGAGGCACGAAAGCGUGGGAUCAAACAGGAUU
rnacentral:rRNA from 1 species